rnacentral:rRNA from 1 species
GGCUCAGGAUGAACGCUAGCGGCAGGCUUAACACAUGCAAGUCGAGGGGCAGCAUGAGGGUUAGCAAUAACCUUUGAUGGCGACCGGCGCAAGGGUGCGUAACGCGUGAGCAACUUGCCCGUUUCUGGGGAAUAACCGGUGGAAACGCCGACUAAUACCCCAUAGCAUUGAUUUCAGGCAUCUGUUAUCAAUUAAAGAAUUUCGGAAACGGAUAGGCUCGCGUGACAUUAGCUAGAUGGCGGGGUAACGGCCCACCAUGGCGACGAUGUCUAGGGGUUCUGAGAGGAAGGUCCCCCACACUGGAACUGAGACACGGUCCAGACUCCUACGGGAGGCAGCAGUGAGGAAUAUUGGUCAAUGGUCUGACGACUGAACCAGCCAUGCCGCGUGAAGGUGACGGCCCUAUGGGUCUUAAACUUCUUUUGUAAGGGAGCAAUAAGGUCUACGUGUAGAUUGAUGAGAGUACCUUACGAAUAAGCAUCGGCUAACUCCGUG